GAAAGCAUUGUAAUCUCAAGAAGUGUUUUCCGCUUCGGACCAUGCCUAAGUCCCUUGGAAAAGGGCAUCAUAGAGGGUGAUAAUCCCGUACAUGGCAUGGAGCGCCCGAAGCUUUGUGAUACGCUUUCUAAGAGUCGAGUUGUUUGGGAAUGCAGCUCAAAAUGGGUGGUAAAUGCCAUCUAAGGCUAAAUAUUGGGGAGAGACCGAUAGCGAACAAGUACAGUGAUGGAAAGAUGAAAAGAACUUUGAAAAGAGAGUUAAACAGUACGUGAAAUUGCCAAAAGGGAAGGGUAGGAGGUCAGAGAUGCGGCCUGGGAUUCAGCCUUGCUUUUGCUUGGUGUUUUUCCCAGAUUGCAGGCCAACGUCGGUUUUGGGCACUGGAGAAGGGUAGGAGGAACGUGGCACCUCUCGGGGUGUGUUAUAGCCUCCUACUGGAUACAGCGACCGAGACCGAGGACAGCAGCGUACUCGCAAGAGCGGGCCUUCGGGCACCUUUACGCUUAGGGCGUUGGCAUAAUGGCCCUCUACCAC
rnacentral:rRNA from 1 species